rnacentral:lncRNA from 1 species
GGGCGAAGUUUGUUUAAAUUAUUUUUUUUGUAUUUUAAAUAUUUGUUAAUAAAAAAAAAAGAUACGGAAAUACCGUAACGUUUCCAAUUUUGGUUCUGUUGUUAGGGAUUUUACUUGUGACGUUAUUUAAGUUAUGACGUCAUGUUCAAUGUAAACAAAGAAACGCAAUGCAUCAGGUAGGCCUAACGUUUAUUCAUAUGGGGACGAAGUCCCCAAUUACGGUAGAAAAAUCAAUAAAAAAAAAAAAAAAAAAAUCGGGGAAAAUUUCCCGAAUUUUUCAUUCUACUAAUGAACUCAAAAUCGUUAACUUUUUUUUUCAGAUCUACUUCCUGUUCCGGUUUUC